rnacentral:lncRNA from 1 species
AUGACUCUCAGGGGGUUAUCGAUGGAGGAGCUCCUUAAAAAGUUGAUGGAAGAAGGCAUUGAUGUGUCAGACGACGAGGCGCAAAGGUUUAGAGAUAACGAUGUAGAUGGAGAGACGGUAGACUGUGGACUCACUGAGACCAUGGUUGCAUAUCUUUUUGACAAGUCUUUCAAAAAGCAGCUGAAGUUCAGAGACUUCACAAACCGCUACAAGGAAGUCAUCAUCACUUUACAACCGGUCGACCCAUUUGAAGGUACAGUUGAAGGUCCAGUGUCCCAAGCAAACCAGAGUUCUAUACCUUCUUGCCUGCAGUCAUUUCCAUUCCAAAAUUCCCACAAGAUGUCCAGAGUCGCUUGGAUCUCAAAGAACCAGUCCAGAAAGAACAGAAGUACCGAAACAAAAUAA